UGUUUGUGUUUGUGUGUGUGUGUGUGUUGAUUGUUUAGAUUUGUUUGAAAAUAUUUGUUGGGUGUGUGUGAAGAAAAUGGAGAGGGAGAAGCUGGAGAAGCAGAGGCUGAAGGCCGAGAAAGAGAAAGCAGAGAAAGAGAAGGCCGAGAAGAAAGCUGAAGGAGAGCCUCAUAAGAGCUGAAGUGGUGGUUGUCUCCAGUGAAUGAUGGAGCUCUUGCUUUGGAAGUACUUAGUUCGAAUAAAUGUAUAGGACUUCACGUGACUCUCUAUGAGACUUUGUUUUUCGUUUGUAUAGAGUGUGACCAUCGUUGAUCUCGAAUGGUAAUGGACUUGGCAUUGCUUACUUGCUUCUGUGUGCGCAUUACGUUUUCUUGCUCACUAGCUGAUUGUUGAUUUGUGAGGGCUAGGAGAAUUGCACAAAGGUCUAAAAGUUUCUCCUCUUUC